rnacentral:lncRNA from 1 species
GCGGGAUGGGUCUGUAAUUGACUCCCAUAAAUUUCGGGACGGGGUGGAUAUAGGGCGGGUAACAGCCCCGUUAGCAGGCCUACCUUUAGCCUGUCAAGUCCUCGUUCCGAUCGGGGGACGGCCACCGGAGCCCCGCUGCCGAUGAGACCUCGCCGAGAGGUCCCGACGCCGCGGCCGUGGAUGGCAUCCUGGUGUUUUCCUUUACCUGUUCACGGACCUGACCCUGUGGGGCGUGGAGGAGGCAGGGGAAGAACGGAUCGCCCCUGAUCACGCGCCGUGUCGAGGCCAGCACCACAUGCCUCGACACGCCCUCGCAGACCAAAGCGAUCGGCAGCGGCGGCGAGCCCGAGUUCGCGGUGCAGUUGAGGUGCCGCGUGACCAAGUACAUCAGGGCCGGGCGCGACCGUGGGCAGAGGCUGGUACGCGCCUACCGCGGGUCCGGCGCCGAGGCGAGCUUCGUCGCCGCUGUGCAUAGGACGUCUCCCGGGAGACGAGGACAGCGGCCACGACAUGAUCCGGCGGCUGCUGAGGGCGAUCCGCGCCGCCGCCGUCGUGGAGCUGGCGUUGGACCGACACGUCAGGUACGGCGCGCCCAGGGUGCUCCUGACGGGGUGCAAGAAGGCGGCGGCGGAGCCGGAAGGGAAGAGGGCGGCGAGUGCAGCAUCUGCUUGGAGGCGUUGCGCGAGGUGGAGGCGGCGGCGGUCAAUGGGGGCGUACCCGUGGAGCUGCCGGGCUGCGCGGACGCCUCCCACCGACGUGCCCGUUUUGCACCUGGACCCCGAACUGCAGAAGUAUCUCGCCGAGUUCAGCCCUGAUGAUCUGAUCCGCCCACUGCGCCGGAAUCAGCAGGAACAGUUGGGCGCCGUCAAGAACGAAGCCGUGGGAAGACCUGUGUGCUGUAGCCUGAAUAGUGCUAGGUUUCUCUGUGCGCACCUUGCUGCAAAUUCCUAAUGGAACCCGUGCCGUUCCUCGGAAACAAAGAUUUGUACUCACUGUGUACUUCUCUGAAGAAUAUCAAUGUUAUUGCUAUUGGUAAAUAAAUGCUACUUGUUGGAACAAUUUUUUUCAUACG